rnacentral:rRNA from 1 species
CAAGUCGAACGGGAUUGAGCAGCAAUGUUCAUGAGAGUGGCGCACGGGUGCGUAACACGUAUGUAACUUACACUUAACUGGGGGAUAGCUCAGAGAAAUCGGGAUUAAUACCGCAUAACAUCUUAGUAACUCAUGUUACAGAGAUCAAAGCUCAGGCGGUUAAGUAUGGACAUGCGCGACAUUAGCUAGUUGGUGAGGUAACGGCUCACCAAGGCGACGAUGUCUAGGGGGUCUAAGAGGAUGUCCCCCCACACUGGUACUGAGACACGGACCAGACUCCUACGGGAGGCAGCAGUAGGGAAUAUUGGGCAAUGGACGCAAGUCUGACCCAGCCAUGCCGCGUGCAGGAUGACUGCCCUAUGGGUUGUAAACUGCUUUUAUACGGGAAGAAACCUUCGAUCGUGAUCGGAGCUGACGGUAUCGUAUGAAUAAGGAUCGGCUAACUCCGUGCCAGCAGCCGCGGUAAUACGGAGGAUCCAAGCGUUGUCCGGAUUUACUGGGUUUAAAGGGUGCGUAGGUGGACUUUUAAGUCAGUGGUGAAAGCCUGUAGCUUAACUAUAGAAUUGCCAUUGAAACUGAAAGUCUUGAGUACAGUUGAGGUGAGCGGAAUGUAUCAUGUAGCGGUGAAAUGCUUAGAUAUGAUACAGAACACCGAUUGCGAAGGCAGCUCACUAAACUGCAACUGACACUGAGGCACGAAAGCGUGGGGAUCAAACAGGAUUAGAUACCCUGGUAGUCCACGCUGUAAACGUUGAAUACUCGAUGUGUGCGAUACACUGUACGCGUCUAAGCGAAAGCGUUAAGUAUUCCACCUGGGGGAGUACGAUCGCAAGAUUGAAACUCAAAGGAAUUGACGGGGGCCCGCACAAGCGGA